UCGGGAAUCUUGCACGAUGGGCGAAAGCCUGAUGCAGCAACGCCGUGUGAGCGAGGAAGGCCUUCGGGUCGUAAAGCUCUGUUGUUGGGGACGAAGGGCGAAGGGUUAAUAGCCCCUAGUCUGACGGUACCCUUCGAGGAAGCCCCGGCUAACUACGUGCCAGCAGCCGCGGUAAUACGUAGGGGGCGAGCGUUGUCCGGAAUUAUUGGGCGUAAAGAGCGUGUAGGCGGCCCGGUAAGUCCGCCGUGAAAACCUGGGGCUCAACCCUGGGCGUGCGGUGGAUACUGCUGGGCUAGAGGAUGGUAGAGGCGAGUGGAAUUCCCGGUGUAGCGGUGAAAUGCGCAGAGAUCGGGAGGAACACCAGUGGCGAAAGCGCUCUACUGGACCGUAACUGACACUCACAGGACGAAAGCUAGGGGAGCGAAUGGGAUUAGAUACCCCUGUAGUCC
rnacentral:rRNA from 1 species